rnacentral:rRNA from 1 species
UACAGAGGUCCCAAGCGUUGUUCGGAUUCACUGGGCGUAAAGGGUGCGUAGGUGGUGAGGUAAGUCGGAUGUGAAAGCUCGGGGCUCAACUCCGAAAUGGCAUUGGAAACUACCUUGCUCGAGGGUUGGAGGGGGGACUGGAAUGCUUGGUGUAGCAGUGAAAUGCGUAGAUAUCAAGCGGAACACCAGUGGCGAAGGCGAGUCCCUGGACAACUCCUGACACUGAGGCACGAAAGCUAGGGGAGCAAACAGG